UCUCAGUUCAGAUUGCAGGCUGCAACUCGCCUGCAUGAGGUCGGAAUUGCUAGUAAUCGCAGAUCAGCAUGCUGCGGUGAAUACGUUCCCGGGCCUUGUACACACCGCCCGUCACACCAUGGGAGUCGGUAACACCCGAAGUCGGUAGCCUAACCGUAAGGAGGGCGCCGCCGAAGGUGGGAUUGAUGACUGGGGUGAAGUCGUAACAAGGUAUC
rnacentral:rRNA from 1 species